rnacentral:lncRNA from 1 species
GGGUGGCAUAACAUGUGGCAUAUUCAUGUGGCCGAAGCUUUAAGCCUUCUUCCUUGCUUUCUUGCACCUUGUGGUUAUUAGGACUCGUCAAGAACGUUAUUAGUGCUUUUCGCAUCUCCUUGGGCAACUGUAGUGCUUCUUUGAUGCUAAAGUGUGCCGGAAGGCUUUCUUUAGGCGUGACGGUCUUCUCUUCCUCGAUGGCGAUAACUUGGCAUUUUGAGGGCUAUUCUAUCUCUAUUUCAACCAUGUGACAUGCGUGGCUCUUACUCCAUGGGUUCCCCAACGUACGUUGGCUUAGCAGCUCUUAUGUCUCUUU